GGGGUCGUUACGGAAUCGACUGACAUUGUUCGUGCUAAAAUCGCGUUUAGGGGUUGUGGCCCUAUAAUCCACUCAGACAGAAUAACUGCAAAAAAUUCAAACAAAACUUACGCUUUCGCUGCUUAAAAACCAGCUAGCGUUGCCAAAAUCUGCUGUGAUUACCGGUUGAUCUUGGUCUAAAACUUAGUAAUCUACGCUAAUUAACUUACGUCUGGAGUUGUUUAGAAGAAGAUUAUCAGACUAGUCAUAAAGGUGGCUUUGUUUACCGGCGGGCAAUAUGACGAAUUUUAAAUUGGUAGACUAUGAACGUAGACGUUUUAGUUCCGAAAUGUUAGGACAGGGGUUCAACUCCCCUCGGCUCCAUUG
rnacentral:tmRNA from 1 species